rnacentral:rRNA from 1 species
GACGAACGCUGGCGGCGUGCUUAACACAUGCAAGUCGAACGGAAAGGCCCUGCUUUUGUUGGGUUCUCGAUUGGCGAACGGGGGAGUAACACGUGAGUAACCUGCCCUUGACUUUGUGAUAACUUCAGGAAACUGGGUCUCAUACCGGGUAGGAGCUCCUGCUGCAUGGUGGGGGUUGGAAAGUUUCGGCGGUUGGGGAUGGACUCGCAGCUUAUCAGCUUGUUGGUGGGGUAGUGGCUUACCAAGGCUUUGACGGGUAGGCGGCCUGAGAGGGUGGACGGCCACCUUGCGACUGCGAUACGGAGCAGAAUGGAAUGUGCGGCAGUAGGGGAGAGCAUUGCAGAACGGCGGCGAGCGUGAUGUGAAAACCCUGGGUGCGGGAUGCCCGCUUACGGGUGAAAAACAGAUUUCGACUGUGACGAAGAGUGAGUGACGGUAAUGGGUCAAGAAGCACCGGCUAACUACGUG